rnacentral:rRNA from 1 species
AUUGAACGCUGGCGGCAGGCCUAACACAUGCCAGUCGAACGGUAACAGGAAGAAGCUUGCUUCUUUGCUGACGAGUGGCGGACGGGUGAGUAAUGUCUGGGAAACUGCCUGAUGGAGGGGGAUAACUACUGGAAACGGUAGCUAAUACCGCAUAACGUCGCAAGACCAAAGAGGGGGACCUUCGGGCCUCUUGCCAUCGGAUGUGCCCAGAUGGGAUUAGCUUGUUGGUGGGGUAACGGCUCACCAAGGCGACGAUCCCUAGCUGGUCUGAGAGGAUGACCAGCCACACUGGAACUGAGACACGGUCCAGACUCCUACGGGAGGCAGCAGUGGGGAAUAUUGCACAAUGGGCGCAAGCCUGAUGCAGCCAUGCCGCGUGUAUGAAGAAGGCCUUCGGGUUGUAAAGUACUUUCAGCGGGGAGGAAGGGAGUAAAGUUAAUACCUUUGCUCAUUGACGUUACCCGCAGAAGAAGCACCGGCUAACUCCGUG